rnacentral:rRNA from 1 species
UACAGGGGGUGCAAGCGUUGUUCGGAAUUACUGGGCGUAAAGGGUGAGUAGGCGGCUUUGUAAGUCAGGUGUGAAAUCCCGGAGCUUAACUCCGGAACUGCAUCUGAAACUACAAGGCUAGAGUGAGGUAGAGGCAAGCGGAAUUCUCAGUGUAGAGGUGAAAUUCGUAGAUAUUGAGAGGAACACCAGUGGCGAAGGCGGCUUGCUGGGCCUUUUCUGACGCUGAGGCACGAAAGCGUGGGGAUCAAACAGG